rnacentral:rRNA from 1 species
GCGGCAGGCUUAACACAUGCAAGUCGAGCGCCCCGCAAGGGGAGCGGCAGACGGGUGAGUAACGCGUGGGAAUCUACCCUUUUCUACGGAAUAACGCAGGGAAACUUGUGCUAAUACCGUAUACGCCCUUCGGGGGAAAGAUUUAUCGGAGAAGGAUGAGCCCGCGUUGGAUUAGCUAGUUGGUGGGGUAAAGGCCUACCAAGGCGACGAUCCAUAGCUGGUCUGAGAGGAUGAUCAGCCACAUUGGGACUGAGACACGGCCCAAACUCCUACGGGAGGCAGCAGUGGGGAAUAUUGGACAAUGGGCGCAAGCCUGAUCCAGCCAUGCCGCGUGAGUGAUGAAGGCCCUAGGGUUGUAAAGCUCUUUCACCGGUGAAGAUAAUGACGGUAACCGGAGAAGAAGCCCCGGCUAACUUCGUGCCAGCAGCCGCGGUAAUACGAAGGGGGCUAGCGUUGUUCGGAAUUACUGGGCGUAAAGCGCACGUAGGCGGACAUUUAAGUCAGGGGUGAAAUCCCGGGGCUCAACCCCGGAACUGCCUUUGAUACUGCGUGUCUUGAGUGAGGUUGAAGUAGCUGGAAUAAGUAGUGUAGCGGUGAAAUGCAUAGAUAUUACUUAGAACACCAAUUGCGAAGGCAGGUUACUAAGUCUCAACUGACGCUGAUGGACGAAAGCGUGGGGAGCGAACAGGAUUAGAUACCCUGGUAGUCCACGCUGUAAACGAUGCUAACUCGUUUUUGGGGAUUUAUCUUCAGAGACUAAGCGAAAGUGAUAAGUUAGCCACCUGGGGAGUACGAACGCAAGUUUGAAACUCAAAGGAAUUGACGGGGGCCCGCACAAGCGGUGGAUUAUGUGGUUUAAUUCGAUGAUACGCGAGGAACCUUACCAAGGCUUAAAUGGGAAUUGAUCGGUUUAGAAAUAGACCUUCCUUCGGGCAAUUUUCAAGGUGCUGCAUGGGUUGUCGUCAGCUCGUGCCGUGAGGUGUUAGGUUAAGUCCUGCAACGAGCGCAACCCCUGUCACUAGUUGCCAUCAUUCAGUUGGGGACUCUAGUGAGACUGCCUACGCAAGUAGAGAGGAAGGUGGGGAUGACGUCAAAUCAUCACGGCCCUUACGCCUGGGCCCCCCGUAAUACAAUGGCCG